UACGUAGGGGGCAAGCGUUGUCCGGAUUUAUUGGCGUAAAGAGCGUGUAGGCGGUUCGGUAGGUCCGUUGUGAAAACUCGAGCUCAACCUCGAGACGCCGAUGGAAACCCCGAACUAGAGUCCGGAAGAGGAGAGUGGAAUUCCGUGGAUGUAGCGGUGAAAUGCGUAGAUAUCAGGAGGAACACCUGUGGCGAAAGCGGCUCACUGGACCAUAACUGACGCUGAUGCACGAAAGCUAGGGGAGCAAACAGG
rnacentral:rRNA from 1 species